rnacentral:ncRNA from 1 species
CUCAACAUCACUCCUAGACUGAAAAAACAGUUAUUUUGAACUACGCUGAUAGUCUAAGUCCUUUACUGGACUACGUUAUUUCGGUCAAGACACCUACGGAUACUCCUCAAGUCUGUAGCCCGGUCGCUAGUGAUUAAGCCAUUCUUAGAGUCGUGGGAUCGUGUGACUAGCUGAACAAGCCUUAAUAAUUUUGACGGAGAGGAUCAACGUGUUUUG